rnacentral:piRNA from 1 species
UGGAGACAUUGUGGAUGUGCCCAGG